rnacentral:lncRNA from 1 species
GGUUCUUAACCUGGGUCUGUGGCCGUGCUUCUGGGCUCUGUGAAGCACAGAAUGGCUUUGAAAAAGCACCAUCUGUGUGAAUAAACGUUAAAAAUGUUGCUGUCUGUGAUAACCCUAUGUAACUGAGUUUUUGUGCAAUACAUUGAGUACGGUACUUUGUAUAAUUAUUCAACUUAUAAAUGUGAUUGUGGUCAGAUUUCAUCAAGCUCUUAAAGGGGUUUGUGACCUAGAAAAGGAUAAGAACCUGAGAAACGUUACCUUAGGGCCAGAGAGAGCAAUUUUGGUGUUUUUUUUUUUUCCCUUUUCUUCUCCCCAUCUGCUUCUAAUCUAUCUUAUUAGAGAAGUUUUUUUUUUUUUUUUUUUUUUUUUUUUUUUUUUUUUUUGUUCAUUAUAAAUGUGCAGAAUGAAAAAGCUUAGAUUUACAAUCAUUUUGCAGUUUGUUUCUGUCACUCCUGUUUUCUCUGCUGCACUACAGGGUCACCCUGAGACACCACUUCAGAUUCUUCGUGGCAACAAAUACCUUAGCAGGAAGACUGAUGUUGGACUCUAUAUGGAUAUCAACAUCCAGCCAGCAGGAAAGAUCUCUUUGAAGGAGGUGAAUAAGAGCCACAAAGGUCAGUCCAGGAGAACAGUCAAAGUGGUCCAGGUGGACAGCCCCUGCUCCUCGGGCAGCUCCAUGGACAGCUUAUCCGUUAGCUCGGAUCUCGAGUGGGAUUUUGAGGACGUGAAUUCACAGUGGUGCGACACACAGAAAGAAGCGGAUGCUUUUGCCCUGCAGACCUGAACAGAUCGCUGUGAACGUAAGUCUGGUGACAGAAGUAUCACUGGAGAAGCCAACAGGAAGGUUCUGUGCCAACGUGUGUGUCUGUGACACAGCCAUUCAGAAGGCCACUCAGUGAUGCAGUGUAUGACACUGGUAAAAUAUUCACUGAUGUAUGCAUAUUAAAGCCAUAUUUUGUAUGAGAAAUUGUGAAACUGCACUUCUAUCGCUACCGUGAUAUAUGUUGCCUCUUGGUAAAUUAAAUGCAGUGUAAUAAGAAAUACUGAAACGAUUUUUGUCUUUGUGCAAUUUUUUUUCU